UGGAGCAAGAACGCGAAGGAGCCUGGGGGAGCCUAAGCCAAGAGGGACGUGGCGCUCUACGACGCGGACCGGGAAGCCGCGCCCCUUCCUUCUCUGGCUUUCAUGGAGAGGCCUGCGAAGCAGGAUUUGGGCGGGAUCCCACAGAACAUCAGCUGGCCAAGCUCUUCAUUGUGUUCAGAAGAAGGUAGAGGGAGGCAGGCAUGAGUAUUUACUGAAGAGAAACUCAUGUUCAGCAGAACACCAUCAAGAUCUACCUGUGACCGCCAGGCUAGCUCAUAGCAACACUGAGGCCCACCAGCUGAUAGCACCAGGACAGUUCUUGGACGAAUUAGCUUCCUAGCCGCCAUAAAUACAAAAGGAUGGAUUGAUCUGAGAUGCCAAUUUGGAGAGAUUGGUGAGUAGAGACAUGGAUGACUCCAGAAAGAAGUAAUUUCUCCUCAAAUCUAACAACCAAAUGACUCUAAAACUCAGCCCAUCAAGAGAUUUGAACAAACAAUUCAUAGAAAACCAUAAAAGAACUAUAAAAUUAUAAUGGAUCUUUAUCAUAUGGAAAAAAAAAAGACUCAUCUUUCAAGAAAAUGAGAAGACAGGCCACAGACUGGGAGAAUAUAUUUACAAAACACACAUUUGAUAUAGGAUAGUUAUCUAUAAUAUAUAAAGAACUCUUAAAACUCAACAAUAAGAAAACAAACAACACAAUUAAAAAAUGAGCCAAAGACCUGAUAGACACCUCAAUGAAGAAGAUAUACAGAUGGCAAAUGAAAAGAUUCUCAAAAUCAUGUAAUCAUAUGUCAUUAGAGAAUUGAAAAUUCCAUCAAUGAAAUUCCACUACCUAUUAGAAUGGCUAAAAUCUAAAACAGAUAACACCAAAUGUCGACAAGGAUGUGGAUAAACAGGAACCGUCAUUUAUUAUGGAUGGAAUGCAAAAUGUUAAGCUUCUUUUUGAAGGCAAUUUGGUAGUUUCUUACAAAACUAAACAUACUCUUACCAUACUAUCCAACAAUUGCACUCCUUAGUAUUUAUCAAAAUGAGUUGAAGAUUUAUGUUCAUGCAAAAACCUGCACACAGAUGUUUAUAGCAGCUUUAUUUAUAAUUGCCCAAACUUAGAAACAAUCAAGUUGUUCUUCAAUAAGGUGAGUGAAUAAAUAAGUGUGGUCCAUCCAGACAAUGGAAUAUUAUUCAGCACUAAAAAGAAAUGAACUAUCAAGCCAUGAAAAGGCAUGAAGGAACCUUAAAGGCAUAUCACUAAGUGAAAGAUGCCAGUCUGAAAAGUCUGAAAAGGCUGCAUACAGUAUGAUUCCAAUUAUACGACAUUCUGGAAAAGGCAAAACUAUGGGGAGAAUAAAAAGAUCAGUGUUUGUUAAGGGAUUAGGGGAGUAGGAGGGAUGAAUUGGUAGAGCACAGAGAAAUUUUAGGGCAGUGAAACUGCUCUGUGUGAUACUAUAAUGGUAGAUACGUGUCAUUGUAAAUUUGUCCAAACCCAAAGAA